CAGGCUGCUGCAACUGUUUAUUAAAAACACAGCACUCUGCAAACACGAAAGUGGACGUAUAGGGUGUGAUGCCUGCCCGGUGCUGGAAGGUUAAUUGAUGGGGUUAGCGUAAGCGAAGCUCUUGAUCGAAGCCCCAGUAAACGGCGGCCGUAACUAUAACGGUCCUAAGGUAGCGAAAUUCCUUGUCGGGUAAGUUCCGACCUGCACGAAUGGCAUAAUGAUGGCAGCGCUGUCUCCAGCAGAGACUCAGUGAAAUCGAAAUCGCAGUGAAGAUGCUGUGUACCCGCGGCUAGACGGUAAGACCCCGUGAACCUUUACUACAGCUUUACAUUGAACUUUGACCUAACUUGUGUAGGAUAGGUGGGAGGCUUUGAAGCAGAUACGCCAGUAUUUGUGGAGCCAACCUUGAAAUACCACCCUGGUUAUGUUGGGGUUCUAACUUAGGAUUAACAAAUCCAAGGACAAUGUAUGGUGGGUAGUUUGACUGGGGCGGUCUCCUCCUAAAGAGUAACGGAGGAGUACGAAGGUGCGCUCAGAACGGUCGGAAAUCGUUCAAAGAGUAUAAAGGCAAAAGCGCGCUUAACUGCGAGACCCACAAGUCGAGCAGGUACGAAAGUAGGUCUUAGUGAUCCGGUGGUUCUGUAUGGAAGGGCCAUCGCUCAACGGAUAAAAGGUACUCUGGGGAUAACAGGCUGAUACCGCCCAAGAGUUCAUAUCGACGGCGGUGUUUGGCACCUCGAUGUCGGCUCAUCUCAUCCUGGGGCUGAAGCAGGUCCCAAGGGUAUGGCUGUUCGCCAUUUAAAGAGGUACGCGAGCUGGGUUUAGAACGUCGUGAGACAGUUCGGUCCCUAUCUACCGUGGGCGUUGGAAAUUUGAGAGGAUCUGCUCCUAGUACGAGAGGACCAGAGUGGACGAACCUCUGGUGUUUCGGUUG
rnacentral:rRNA from 1 species